UCAGACCGGAGCAAUCCAGGUCAGUUUCUAUCUAUAUCUAAGAUUUUUCUAGUACGAAAGGACCGAAAAAACGUGGCCUAUGUAAAAUACAAGCCACCACUACUAAAUUAUGAUUAAAAACUCAAUAAUAUUGUAGUUUAUUUAAAUCCUCUAAAUAAGAGUAG
rnacentral:rRNA from 1 species